AGUGAACGCUGGCGGUAGGCCUAACACAUGCCAGUCGAACGGCAGCACAGUAAGAGCUUGCUCUUACGGGUGGCGAGUGGCGGACGGGUGAGGAAUACAUCGGAAUCUACUUUUUCGUGGGGGAUAACGUAGGGAAACUUACGCUAAUACCGCAUACGACCUACGGGUGAAAGCAGGGGAUCUUCGGACCUUGCGCGAUUGAAUGAGCCGAUGUCGGAUUAGCUAGUUGGCGUGGUAAAGGCCCACCAAGGCGACGAUACGUAGCUGGUCUGAGAGGAUGAUCAGCCACACUGGAACUGAGACACGGUCCAGACUCCUACGGGAGGCAGCAGUGGGGAAUAUUGGACAAUGGGCGCAAGCCUGAUCCAGCCAUACCGCGUGGGUGAAGAAGGCCUUCGGGUUGUAAAGCCCUUUUGUUGGGAAAGAAAAGCAGCAGGUUAAUACCCCGCUGUUCUGACGGUACCCAAAGAAUAAGCACCGGCUAACUUCGUG
rnacentral:rRNA from 1 species